rnacentral:rRNA from 1 species
GAGUUUGAACCUGGCUCAGGAUGAACGCUGGCGGCGUGCUUAACACAUGCAAGUCGAACGGACCUGUACUGAAACCUAGUGAUUUACAGGUUAGUGGCGGACGGGUGAGUAACGCGUGGAAAACCUGCCGUAUACUGGGGGAUAACACUUAGAAAUAGGUGCUAAUACCGCAUAAGCGCACAGACCCGCAUGGGACAGUGUGGAAAACAAAAAGCUAAGGCUUUUUAUGGUAUACGAUGGUUCCGCGUCUGAUUAGCUUGUUGGCGGGGUGACGGCCCACCAAGGCGACGAUCAGUAGCCGGCCUGAGAGGGUGAACGGCCACAUUGGGACUGAGACACGGCCCAGACUCCUACGGGAGGCAGCAGUGGGGAAUAUUGCACAAUGGGGGAAACCCUGAUGCAGCGACGCCGCGUGAGUGAAGAAGUAUCUCGGUACGUAAAGCUCUAUCAGCAGGGAAGAAAAAAAGUCUUUGGCUUUGGACGGUACCUGACUAAGAAGCCCCGGCUAACUACGUGCCAGCAGCCGCGGUAAUACGUAGGGGGCAAGCGUUAUCCGGAUUUACUGGGUGUAAAGGGAGCGUAGACGGCAGCGCAAGUCUGGAGUGAAAUGCCGGGGCUCAACCCCGGAACUGCUUUGGAAACUGUGCAGCUAGAGUGCGGGAGAGGUAAGCGGAAUUCCUAGUGUAGCGGUGAAAUGCGUAGAUAUUAGGAGGAACACCAGUGGCGAAGGCGGCU